UGGGGAAUAUUGCACAAUGGGGGAAACCCUGAAGCAGCGACGCCGCGUGAACGAAGAAGGUAUUCGUAUCGUAAAGUUCUGUCCUAUGGGAAGAUAAUGACAGUACCAUAGAAGAAAGCUCCGGCUAAAUACGUGCCAGCAGCCGCGGUAAUACGUAUGGAGCGAGCGUUGUCCGGAAUUAUUGGGCGUAAAGGGUACGCAGGCGGUUUAAUAAGUCGAAUGUUAAAGAUCGGGGCUCAACCCCGCAAAGCAUUGGAAACUGAUAAACUUGAGUAGUGGAGAGGAAAGUGGAAUUCCUAGUGUAGUGGUGAAAUACGUAGAUAUUAGGAGGAAUACCAGUAGCGAAGGCGACUUUCUGGACACAAACUGACGCUGAGGUACGAAAGCGUGGGGAGCAAACAGG
rnacentral:rRNA from 1 species